AUGCAAGUCGAGCGCGGGAAGCAGGCAGAUCCUCUUCGGAGGUGACGCCUGUGGAACGAGCGGCGGACGGGUGAGUAACACGUGGGCAACCUGCCUGUAAGAUUGGGAUAACCCCGGGAAACCGGGGCUAAUACCGGAUAAUACUUUUCGUUGCAUAACGAGAAGUUGAAAGGCGGCUUUUAGCUGUCACUUACAGAUGGGCCCGCGGCGCAUUAGCUAGUUGGUAAGGUAACGGCUUACCAAGGCGACGAUGCGUAGCCGACCUGAGAGGGUGAUCGGCCACACUGGGACUGAGACACGGCCCAGACUCCUACGGGAGGCAGCAGUAGGGAAUCUUCCGCAAUGGACGAAAGUCUGACGGAGCAACGCCGCGUGAGUGAUGAAGGUUUUCGGAUCGUAAAACUCUGUUGUCAGGGAAGAACAAGUGCCGUUCGAAUAGGGCGGCACCUUGACGGUACCUGACCAGAAAGCCCCGGCUAACUACGUGCCAGCAGCCGCGGUAAUACGUAGGGGGCAAGCGUUGUCCGGAAUUAUUGGGCGUAAAGCGCGCGCAGGCGGUCCUUUAAGUCUGAUGUGAAAGCCCACGGCUUAACCGUGGAGGGCCAUUGGAAACUGGAGGACUUGAGUACAGAAGAGGAGAGUGGAAUUCCACGUGUAGCGGUGAAAUGCGUAGAGAUGUGGAGGAACACCAGUGGCGAAGGCGACUCUCUGGUCUGUAACUGACGCUGAGGUGCGAAAGCGUGGGGAGCGAACAGGAUUAGAUACCCUGGUAGUCCACGCCGUAAACGAUGAGUGCUAGGUGUUAGGGGGUUUCCGCCCCUUAGUGCUGAAGUUAACGCAUUAAGCACUCCGCCUGGGGAGUACGGCCGCAAGGCUGAAACUCAAAAGAAUUGACGGGGGCCCGCACAAGCGGUGGAGCAUGUGGUUUAAUUCUAAGCAACGCGAAGAACCUUACCAGGUCUUGACAUCCUCUGCCAAUCCUAGAGAUAGGAUGUUCCCUUCGGGGACAGAAUGACAGGUGGUGCAUGGCGUCGUCAGCUCG
rnacentral:rRNA from 1 species